UCCGGUUUGUCACCGGCAGUCUCAUUAGAGUGCCCUUUCGUAGCAACUAAUGACAAGGGUUGCGCUCGUUGCGGGACUUAACCCAACAUCUCACGACACGAGCUGACGACGGCCAUGCAGCACCUGAACCGGAAGUCCCCGAAGGGAAAACCUCAUCUCUGAGGCGGUCCUCCGUUGUCUAGCCCAGGUAAGGUUCUUCGCGUUGCGUCGAAUUGAACCACAUGCUCCACCGCUUGUGCGGGCCCCCGUCAAUUCCUUUGAGUUUUAACCUUGCGGCCGUACUCCCCAGGCGGAACACUUAAUGCGUUAGCUACGGCACGGAUUCCGUGGAAGGAACCCACACCUAGCGCCCACCGUUUACGGCGUGGACUAC
rnacentral:misc_RNA from 1 species